CUUUCUUUCCACAAGAUGGAAGCAAGCCGGUCUCAAUCUAAAUCCAGAUAAGUAUCAAUUUGUUUGCAUCACAAAGUGACACAAGUACCAACUAUCCGCCACUCAUCAUCAUCCUCAUCAAACUCCAUUAGAGUGAGGGCUUGAGAGGCUCAAAUCCUCUCUUGCAAAACCCUGGACAGGAAUCAUGCCAACAGGAGAGUGGCCUGUCCUGCACUGUGCUAUAAUAGCUUGCUCAGGCCAGGACAGCCUUCACCACGGGGAAGUGCGGUCAGGGCGCCUCAUGCGCUCCCAGACUCCACGGGCUUUUUGGGACUUGUCCCAGCAAUCCUAUCCGCCACUACAACUUGAGAACUUUAUGAUUGCUGUCUGAACAAAUCUUUUAAAGUAUAAUAAAGUUCUAAACAGAUCAUCUGUAUACAACAUCAAAUCUUAGUGAAUAAAUCACUUUACUUCGACAUCAUUGAAGCUUAGAUCCAGAACCAUGUAACAUCAUCAACAGCAGAGUCAACACAUCAAGACUAACAUCAUUGACUGCUGAGAAAACACUAGAGCCUGUGUGCGUGAAAAACUCUGCAGAUUUCUUAGCCUGUUUUUGUGACAGAUGAAUAGCCCCCCCCCCAUGUGUUUUUUAUGGCACAUUAUACAACAUGUAGCUUAGGCACUGAUGCAACUACACUGUCUACACGCCUCUUAGGAAACUGGACAUUCCUAUCUAGGUCAUUAAAUGUACCAGUUGAUCUUCUGCAAGCGCAAGCUUGAAUGAACAGACUCUCAGACCAGUUUCAGUUAUACACACACAAACUAUAUGAACGAUAUGUUUAUUCAAGCUAAAAAAAUAAUAGAGUCUUUAUUUUCAAAGACAUCGUAAAGAACGUGAAUGUUAAAGUAGUUGUCAUUGUACCGCUACAUCCCCAUAUCUUCAAUAGUUCACAACAUCGCCUAUUUUAUACAAGCAACUUUAUUUCAAGCUUUCACUAUUUCAAAAUAUUGACUAUACAUGCAAGAGGUAUAGAACUUUUAAGACUGACCGGGAGAUUCAUACAGUGCUCGAAUCUACUCGUGACCCAAAAGUUGACCUAUUUUAUUGAAACCAGGUGUGUUAUAAUCUCCCCCAGUCAACUACACACAUUGUUUUAUUAUAUUUUAUUUACCCUACGGAUAACAUUAUGUUAAAAAAGAAUUUUACUGAACUAUUUGGAUUUUUCAAUUACAAUGCAUUAAUGGAGCAGUAUGGAUUAUUUGAAUUACAUGGAUUAAUGGAGCAGUAUGGAUUAUUUGAAUUACAUGGAUUAAUGGAGCAGUAUGAAUUAUUUGAAUUACAUGGAUUAAUGGAGCAAUAUGGAUUAUUUGAAUUACAUGGAUUAAUGGAGCAGUAUGGAUUAUUUGAAUUACAUGGAUUAAUGGAGCAGUAUGGAUUAUUUGAAUUACAUGGAUUAAUGGAGCAGUAUGGAUUAUUUGAAUUACAUGGAUUAAUGGAGCAGUAUGGAUUAUUUGAAUUACAUGGAUUAAUGGAGCAGUAUGGAUUAUUUGAAUUACAUGGAUUAAUGGAGCAGUAUGGAUUAUUUGAAUUACAUGGAUUAAUGGAGCAGUAUGGAUUAUUUGAAUUACAUGGAUUAAUGGAGCAGUAUGGAUUAUUUGAAUUACAUGGAUUAAUGGAGCAGUAUGGAUUAUUUGAAUUACAUGGAUUAAUGGAGCAGUAUGGAUUAUUUGAAUUACAUGGAUUAACGGAAAACUAUGGUGUUACCAUAAGAUUCUUGUGUUGCCAGGUUGCUAUACUCACAGUAAACCGAACAGAAAUACACUAAGAUACUCUCACUGCGUUCUAUAUAAGCAAAACAUUUUGUUGUCUGUCUAGGACAAAAUACAAUCACAACUUCAGAGAGGACAGAUGAAGCUGGAAGGAAUCUGGACAGAACCUGGACACGCAUCUCAAAAAACGAAACGGCUCUAAAGAUUUUCCUAAGACAGUUGAUGUAUAUCGCUAAGAAAAGAAUAACUAGCUUGUUUACCCAACCGGGAAAAUUCUGGUUUGACCGUUAUCAUAAAGCUAAAGAUAUAAAUGAAUUUUAAAUUGGCUUGUAAACUAGGUCUAGAUCUAGAUCCAACAUUGUUUAUGAAAGGACUAUCGCGUUCGGGAAUUUCCGAAUGUAAGGUAUUAUUGAUUGAAGAGUUUUUAUAAAUUUAUUUAUUUAUUAUUAUUUUUAUUAUAAUAUAAUAGCUAUUCUUAUUCUAAAAAAUUAAACAAUAUAUUAUAAUACAAGACUUAUAAAACCAAUUAACUUACCCUCUUGACACCAACUCAACCAAGCAUUGUGGAAUAGCAGCCGACAACAUGCAGACCUCAAUUUAUAAUAUUAAGCCAACGAGUGACUUCCUGUCUAUAUGACUUCUUUGUUUAAUUUGAUUUUAAUUGACGAGUACUACGCAUAAAUAGUCAAAUUGGAAACAUCCUAAAAUGAUAUUUAAUAGCAGAACUUAAAAAGAUUACCAAGAAAGCACAGGCGUAGCUACCAAUGUGCGGAUGGAGCGGACCGCUCGGGCCAUCAAGUGGCCAUCAAACUGAGGACAAACUUUCUUGGUAAAAAUGACACAUUAUAAGUACAUGACUAGAUUGACCUAGCGAAACGUGUAGCACAUGUAGCAGAUAUGUAUGUAUUUCAUAAGAUAAGAUGAACACAAACAAACAAAUGUAAUUACUUUACCUUCUAUAUACUUUUUAUAACUAAAUUGAAUGUAAGCUGUUCACUAGAAUGAAUCAAAUUUUACCAAAUUUGUUUAACUUUCUUAAGGCAACAAACUUGUACUCUUUCUUCUGGGCCCAUGGUACUUGUUACUUCAUUGGUUUUCAAUGAGGAACAAUGCUAUAAUGGUGAUUUUUUCAUUACUAAUUAAUUAACUCUUUCUCUCCUAACAGACGACACCAACGUUGAUUCCACCUGAAUGUGGUAAAUAAUUACGGAGAGAAAGAGUUAAUUGUAAUACUGGAAUGUAAAGAAAGUCAACGUAAGGAAAGGCGAGGGAGCUUUCAAAUGCUUGGUUCUUCCAGCUAAUUUCAAACGGCAAGAAAGUGGAUGUGUUAACCGCUAUUAGUUUAGUGUGGUAUGUCGGUCCAUAAAUAACUCCAUUAAUUACUCAUUCAUAGAGUCGCGCAUUGAUACAAAAUAUUUGCAUGUAAGGUCACAGUGGAGAAAGUAUAAAUUCCGAUUCAUUAACUAACUAAUUGAAUUGAACAGAAGUGCUUGUUUCUCAAACUUCUUUACAUGACAUUUCCAAACAAUAAAUAAAUGCUAGAUGGGGUUUUAGGAGCAACAGAAGUCAGCGCCAAGCAUUUCCCUGCAUUCUGAACUACUUGAACUCAUUACUCUCUCGUCUACAACGCACAACUUCAAGUUCAAGACACCCGCCGUUAAUGAUAUUUGAGAAACGUUCAUAUCAUCUAAUGUAUGUUUUAUAAAAAGCCUAAGCAAAAUCUAUUAGUGUAAUCAAAGCUUUUUAAAAUUGGAUCUGUUUUUGAUGUCGCAAAGACGUCGAUACAACGCCUGGUCAUGCAGUAGGCGCGCUGGACUGUCGUUCGGGACUUAUUGACGGUCCCGGGUUCAAACCCUACCCGCUGCCAUCCCGCGACGUCCUGCGGGAGGUUUGGACUAGGAAGUAAAUUAUCUUCAAUUCUGAAGGAACAUGCGAAAACAUGUCAAACAUAAAACAAAACGACAAAUGGGAACGAGGAAAAAAAUACUGAAGCUUUCUGUCAAGAGCAUGCGCUGGUAGAGAAAUGUCUUAUUUAAAUCUACUUUGAUUUCAUCAAUAUUCAAUACAACAGAAUAACAAUAAAACUAUCGUCUCGCGCUCUCUUUAAUUAAAGAAGUACUAUUGAAGUUAUUGCUAUAGUACUAAGCAUCAGUUUUAGAAAAUAAAAUAUGUAUGCACUAAAAGUAAAGGCGGUUGAUCGUUGUGCUUGCCACGUGACACCCUCGUUAGAUGUGUGCCACAGAAACAGAUGAUAUUUACAUCAUAUACAUGUAUAAUGUCAGGUAAUGAAAUAAAUAUUUUUUAUAAGAACACAAAGAAGGAGAAGCGUUUUAUUCAAUUGUGUAGUUAUAGGAAUUUAAGAAAAUACAAUAAAAUAUGACAGCUAUUAUGUAGUCCAUGAUAGGUAUAGGCCUAUGGGUAAUA